rnacentral:rRNA from 1 species
GAUGAACGCUGGCGGCGUGCCUAAUACAUGCAAGUCGAGCGAACAGACGAGGAGCUUGCUCCUCUGACGUUAGCGGCGGACGGGUGAGUAACACGUGGAUAACCUACCUAUAAGACUGGGAUAACUUCGGGAAACCGGAGCUAAUACCGGAUAAUAUAUUGAACCGCAUGGUUCAAUAGUGAAAGACGGUUUUGCUGUCACUUAUAGAUGGAUCCGCGCCGCAUUAGCUAGUUGGUAAGGUAACGGCUUACCAAGGCAACGCUGCGUAGGCGACCGGAGAGGGUGAUCGGCCACACGGGAACUGAGACACGGUCAAGACUCCUACGGGAGGCAGCAGUAGGGAAUCUUCCGCAAUGGGCGAAAGCCUGACGGAGCAACGCCGCGUGAGUGAUGAAGGUCUUCGGAUCGUAAAACUCUGUUAUUAGGGAAGAACAAAUGUGUAAGUAACUAUGCACGUCUUGACGGUACCUAAUCAGAAAGCCACGGCUAACUACGUG